AACGGGACGCUCAUGAAGGAGUUUUCGGACAACGGAAUGAGUUGUUUAGUGGCGGACGGGUGAGUAACGCGUGAGGAACCUGCCUUUCAGAGGGGGACAACAGCUGGAAACGGCUGCUAAUACCGCAUAAUGUACAGGGGUCGCAUGGUCUCUGUACCAAAGAUUUAUCGCUGAGGGAUGGCCUCGCGUCUGAUUAGCUAGUUGGUGAGGUAAUGGCCCACCAAGGCGACGAUCAGUAGCCGGACUGAGAGGUUGGCCGGCCACAUUGGGACUGAGAUACGGCCCAGACUCCUACGGGAGGCAGCAGUGGGGAAUAUUGGGCAAUGGGCGCAAGCCUGACCCAGCAAUGCCGCGUGAAGGAAGAAGGCUUUCGGGUUGUAAACUUCUUUGACAGGGGAAGAGACGAAGACGGUACCCUGAAAACAAGCCACGGCUAACUACGUGCCAGCAGCCGCGGUAAUACGUAGGUGGCGAGCGUUGUCCGGAUUUACUGGGUGUAAAGGGCGUGUAGCCGGGCAGGCAAGUCAGAUGUGAAAUCCAUGGGCUCAACCCAUGAACUGCAUUUGAAACUGCUUGUCUUGAGUACUGGAGAGGCAGACGGAAUUCCUAAUGUAACGGUGAAAUGCCUAAAAAUUUAGGAGGAACACCAGUGGCGAAGGCGGUCUGCUGGACAGCAACUGACGGUGAGGCGCGAAAGCGUGGGGAGCAAACAGGAUUAGAUACCCUGGUAGUCCACGCUGUAAACGAUGGAUACUAGGUGUGCGGGGACUGACCCCCUGCGUGCCGGAGCUAACGCAAUAAGUAUCCCACCUGGGGAGUACGAUCGCAAGGUUGAAACUCAAAGGAAUUGACGGGGGCCCGCACAAGCGGUGGAUUAUGUGGUUUAAUUCGAAGCAACGCGAAGAACCUUACCAGGGCUUGACAUCCUGCUAACGAGGUAGAGAUACGUCAGGUGCCCUUCGGGGAAAGCAGAGACAGGUGGUGCAUGGUUGUCGUCAGCUCGUGUCGUGAGAUGUUGGGUUAAGUCCCGCAACGAGCGCAACCCCUAUUGUUAGUUGCUACGCAAGAGCACUCUAGCGAGACUGCCGUUGACAAAACGGAGGAAGGUGGGGACGACGUCAAAUCAUCAUGCCCCUUAUGUCCUGGGCUACACACGUAAUACAAUGGCGGUCAACAGAGGGAUGCAAAGCCGUGAGGUGGAGCGAACCCCUAAAAGCCGUCUCAGUUCAGAUCGCAGUCUGCAACUCGACUGCGUGAAGUCGGAAUCGCUAGUAAUCGCG
rnacentral:rRNA from 1 species